AAUUAAUGAACUUGUAUAAGUAAUUGUUUUGAAAACUUUAAAAAGAAUUAUUAAAUAUUCUAUUAAUUU
rnacentral:tRNA from 1 species